rnacentral:lncRNA from 1 species
UGGGACACAGACGGCAGCGCUCCAGGGUCCACUUGCCGGCUUCGGUUCCCUCAGGCCCAGGACCAGGCUCCACACCGCUGUCGCGUCCCUUAGCCGUGUGGGCUGUAGCACAGAGGGGGCAAACACCUCCAGGGGCUUGUGCCAAGUAAUUACCAAGCAAAUUCCCGGCGAUUUCCUCUCCUCCCCCCGCCCCCCCGGGCAGUGCCCGCUGCGUGUUCCCUGAUUCGGCCCCCGGCUGUGCAAUCAGCUCCAGGUAACCUGCGGGGACCCGUAAUUGCUCUGGAGUUGCCUGCGAGUUUGCAAGGUGGACACGGAAUUGUAGUGCUGGUCCUCCCUCUGCACUGGACUGGAUUCUGCCAAAGUCAACCAAGCGCCUUCAGUUGCUGACUCUCGUCUCCAGGCCUGAUGUCUGGGAGCUCGUCUAAUUCUGCCACUUUAAGGGUCUACUCUGCAGUCCUCAAAGUUCAGAUGAUUCUUCCCCAAACCAUCAAAGACAGCCCUGGCUGUCUCUGAGUUCUUAUGCCCAUGAGGAUGACCUAUGAAUCCCAGAAAGAUACAGAAUUGAGAAUCACCAGAGAACUCUGUUCCAGGAAUCAAGUGAUUAAAGUUACAGUUCCAGUGUCAUCACUAAAUAGCAAGGUGACCUUGGAUGCCUCAUUUUAUCAAAUCUCUCCAUUUUUCAACCUCUAAAAGUAGGAUAAUUUCACAGAUUUGUUAUAAGGAUGAAAAGAGAAAAUGGAUGGGAAAAGUUUGUGAAAGCCUUUGAGAUGUAGGACAAUAAAAAUGGGAAGAGAUCUGCUGGGAUGUUAUCUAGCCCAACCUUCCACCAGGGGCUCACUGAGACUCUGCAUGGAACUUUCACUAA